GAUGAACGCUGGCGGCGUGCUUAACACAUGCAAGUCGAACGUGAGGGGGUAGCAAUAUCCUUGAAAGUGGCGCACGGGUGAGUAAUACGUAGGUAACCUGCCCUGGAGUGGGGGAUAACAGCUAGAAAUGGCUGCUAAUACCGCAUGAGGCCGAGACACUGGGAAGUGUUUUGGCGAAAAACUCUGGUGCUUCAGGAGGGGCCUGCGGCCGAUUAGCUAGUUGGCGGGGUAAGAGCCCACCAAGGCAGUGAUCGGUAGCUGGUCUGAGAGGACGAUCAGCCACACGGGAACUGAGACACGGUCCCGACUCCUACGGGGGGGCAGCAGUGAGGAAUAUUGGGCAAUGGGCGGAAGCCUGACCCAGCAA
rnacentral:rRNA from 1 species